UAUGGCCAUGUCACAUUAAAACACUAGUUCUCGUAUGAUCACUUAAGUUAAGCAAAGUUGAGCCUGGUCAGUAUGGGUGACCACUUGGGAAUACAAGGUGCUGAAAU